AGAGUUUGAUCAUGGCUCAGGACGAACGCUGGCGGCGCGCUUAACACAUGCAAGUCGAGCGAGAACCAGCCCUUCGGGGCUGGGGACAGCGGCGAACGGGUGAGUAACACGUGAGUAAUCCACCCUCGGCACCGGGAUAGCCCGGGGAAACCCGGAUUAAUACCGGAUAGCCUCUCCGGCCUUUGGGCCGGCGAGAAAAGGUAGCUUCGGCCUCUGGCCGGGGACGAGCUCGCGGCGGAUUAGCUUGUUGGUGAGGUAACGGCUCACCAAGGCGACGAUCCGUAGCUGGUCUGAGAGGACGAUCAGCCACACUGGGACUGAGACACGGCCCAGACUCCUACGGGAGGCAGCAGUGGGGAAUCUUGCCCAAUGGGCGAAAGCCUGAGGCAGCGACGCCGCGUGCGGGAAGAAGGCCUUCGGGUUGUAAACCGCUUUCAGGAGGGACGAAGCCACUCGGGUGAAUAGCCCAGAGGGUGACGGUACCUCCAGAAGAAGCCCCGGCUAACUACGUGCCAGCAGCCGCGGUAAUACGUAGGGGGCAAGCGUUGUCCGGAUUUAUUGGGCGUAAAGCGCGUGUAGGCGGCCAGACAGGUCCGUUGUGAAAACUCGAGGCUCAACCUCGAGACGUCGAUGGAAACCGUCUGGCUAGAGUCCGGAAGAGGAGAGUGGAAUUCCCGGUGUAGCGGUGAAAUGCGCAGAUAUCGGGAAGAACACCCGUGGCGAAGCGGCUCUCUGGGACGGUACUGACGCUGAGACGCGAAAGCGUGGGGAGCGAACAGGAUUAGAUACCCUGGUAGUCCACGCUGUAAACGAUGGGUGCUAGGUGUGGGGGGUGUCGACUCCCUCCGUGCCGAA
rnacentral:rRNA from 1 species